rnacentral:rRNA from 1 species
AUUGAACGCUGGCGGCAUGCUUUACACAUGCAAGUCGAACGGUAACAGGCCGUCGGGUGCUUACUAGUGGCGGUCGGGAACGUAAUGCUUCCGCGCAGGCCCAGAGGCUGGUGAUAACGGAGCAAAAUCUGUACCAAUAGCGCAUAUGGUCUGACGAUGAAAGACGGGUACCAAGUAGCAAUAUUUGGCCUUUCGCCUCCUGCACGGCCGACGUCCGAUUAAGUAGUUGGUGGGGUAAAGGCCUACUAAGCCGACGAUCAGUAGCUGGUCUGAGAGGACGACCAGCCACACUGGGACUGGGAAACGGCCCGGACUCCUACGGGAGGCAGCAGUGGGGAAUUUUGGACAAUGGGGGCAAGCUGGAUCAAGCAAGGCAGCGGACGGGAAGAAGGCCUUCGGGUUGUAAACCGCGUUUGUACGGAACGAAAAGGCUCUGGCUAAUACCUGGGGCUGAUGACGGUACCGUAAGAAUAAGCACCGGCUAACUACGUG